AUUGAACGCUGGCGGCAGGCCUAACACAUGCAAGUCGGACGGUAGCACAGAGAGCUUGCUCUUGGGUGACGAGUGGCGGACGGGUGAGUAAUGUCUGGGGAUCUGCCCGAUAGAGGGGGAUAACCACUGGAAACGGUGGCUAAUACCGCAUAACGUCGCAAGACCAAAGAGGGGGACCUUCGGGCCUCUCACUAUCGGAUGAACCCAGAUGGGAUUAGCUAGUAGGCGGGGUAAUGGCCCACCGAGGCGACGAUCCCUAGCUGGUCUGAGAGGAUGACCAGACACACUGGAACUGGGACACGGUCCAGACUCCUACGGGAGGCAGCAGUGGGGAAUAUUGCACAAUGGGCGCAAGCCUGAUGCAGCCAUGCCGCGUGUAUGAAGAAGGCCUUCGGGUUGUAAAGUACUUUCAGCGGGGAGGAAGGCGACGCGGUUAAUAACCGCGUCGAUUGACGUUACCCGCAGAAGAAGCACCGGCUAACUCCGUGCCAGCCGCCGCCGUAA
rnacentral:rRNA from 1 species